CAUUUGAUCACUGUAAGAAAACACGCAGAAAGAAAUCCACGGGAGAUCCAGGUGAAAAGAAAUACAACUAAAAGCCUAGAAAAAUUCAUACCCAACCCUGAUUUCAACUUGAGUGAUUGAAAGUGAUGAGUUCAUGUUCCAAUCUACUGUUUCCAUGGAGUUGUGGAAGUAAUUGAAAAAGGGGUUUCUUGCUCUUGGAUUUUGAUUGAAGGUUGUACUGUUUGAAUAGGUGUCUCUGAACUCAGUUGGCGCAUUGCGAAGUUUGAGGUUUGAGUAGCGGUUGAGGUAGCUUUGAUGUAAGUGGUGUUGUUUCGGCCGAAGGAGAAAUUGACGUUUGGGUCGAUUAAGUGGACUUAACUCAUGCUCUUGUGAGAUCGUUGCUGGUCUCAGUGUUUUUUUUGCUUCUUGCAGUCUUGUAACUUUCUGAAGGUGCUUUCUUUUUUUGAGUAUUUUGUAUGUAAGCUAGUCUCCAACUCUUGAAUGUGUAUACUGUGUAUGUUGUGUAUACUGUAUAUUACAAACAACACACUGUAAAUUAGAUGGUUAUAUAUAACAUGAAAAGUUUAUGUCU